CUAGCCAUAAACGAUGGUCACUAGGUGUGGGUGGUGGUCAAGCCAUCCGUGCCGGAGCUAACGCAAUAAGUGACCCACCUGGGGAGUACGGCCGCAAGGCUGAAACUCAAAGGAAUUGACGGGGGCCCGCACAAGCGGUGGAGCAUGUGGUUUAAUUCGAAGCAACGCGAAGAACCUUACCAGGCCUUGACAUAUAGGUGGUAGCGAACCGAAAGGCAAGCGACCCUUAGGAAACUAAAGGAGCCUAUACAGGUGG
rnacentral:rRNA from 1 species